rnacentral:lncRNA from 1 species
CAGAGCACGACAAUUUGUUAUAGCAUGAGGUAAUUGUUUGGGUGGUGCUGGAUCAUAGAGCCAACCUAUAAGUACAUGAAUUUCUUCUAUAACUAAUUGAUGAGUGCUACUUCUAUCAAAAUUACAGUUUGACUCCCAACUAUGAAAUGAAGAAAAUUAUAGAGAUUAAUGGAAACUCACAUUCAUAUAAAAUAACAUAGUCGUUUAAUUGGAGAUUGACACUAUAGACUUCAAAUUACAUACAAGAAAUUGAAAUUCCUGGGAUUCACCUAAUUCCUAAUUUUCUAGCCUAAACACAAAUUGAAACAUAAACGGUUCAAGUUCACAAAGCUCCUCCAUUUGGUUCCUUGUUUUCUACUUGCUUCUCCUUUUCCCUUGCGGAAAGUAAAUUUGACUGAAAUGUCCACAUCCUUUUCUUCAGUUAUUUUAGCAACGCUCUUCAACAAACUUGAUAACUCUAGCUCAUCAUCGGACGUAGCAUUUGAUAAAUCCCCUUAUUCCUUCCUGUCAUUAAAGUAUGCUAUUGCAGCCACAAUAAAAUUUCAGAAAAGGGGAAAAAAGCAAGCAGCUGAGGGAAAAAAAUACAAUUACAAAGGAACAAAUACCUUACUACAAAAUACAAAAUGAUAUUUUAAAAUACACUAUUGCAGCCACCAAAAAUUCAGAUUUGUAUCAUAUAUAAUCCACUUCUUCUUCAAAGGUAAUAUAAAAUGAAGAACAUUUACACAACCGAACGUCACUUCUAAUGAUGUGUCAACCAAUUUACAACCUACUAGAUUUCCAGUAUCGAAUCAUCCAAGAUAAGAAUUCGAGUACUUAUCUAGUUUGGAAGAUCCACAUCGAUCAAAAGUGAUGGGGUGGAUUUUCUAAAUCUUCGUGUGAGACUCAGGAGAAAUCGACUUGGAGAAGAUGGUUGUCGAGGUUAAAUUAGGGUUCUUCACAGAUUUGGGAGAAACUUCAUUUUGGGAAGGAGAUAGAUUUAACAGGGGAGUCAGGUCUCUUUAGUUUGGUUUUGGAUGAAAAACAUUUUUUUUAAUUGUUGAAGGCUUGUUUGGACACGCUUUUGCUGAUGUGGAUGGUGCGUUGGCAAUUCACUUGCCACUUGGAGACAUUUAACCGGCCAGCUGUGUUUUUCGUCGUCCACGUAAUCACAUUUACUAAUGGUUGUCUUUCGU